UACGAAGGGGGCUAGCGUUGUUCGGAAUUACUGGGCGUAAAGCGCGUGUAGGCGGGUCCUUAAGUCAGGGGUGAAAUGCCGAGGCUCAACCUCGGAACUGCCUUUGAUACUGGGGAUCUUGAGUCCGGGAGAGGUGAGUGGAACUGCGAGUGUAGAGGUGAAAUUCGUAGAUAUUCGCAAGAACACCAGUGGCGAAGGCGGCUCACUGGCCCGGAACUGACGCUGAGACGCGAAAGCGUGGGUAGCAAACAGG
rnacentral:rRNA from 1 species